rnacentral:lncRNA from 1 species
UAAAAGAUUCACCAGGCACUAGCAUGAAGAAAGAGUCUUUGUAAAUGGACACUGAAAAAAACAAACUACCAAAGAUUCCUCCACUGACUACUGACUCAAAAAUAAAAUAAUAAAAACAAAUUUUUUUUUAAGCACUGGGGAUAAAAAGACAUCAUGGAAGUAUAACUUAUUCCGCACUACAUAUAGAAGAAAAUCUUGACCUGAGUAGAGAAGAGACCUUCAGGUGCUUUUGUGGCUAAAAAAGAUUACAGCGUCAUCUGGUUGAACUCAGAAAAAAAAAAAAAAAAAAAAAAAAAAAAAAAAGCUAUAGAAAUCCUUGUCAAAGCACAAAGUCAUGGCUGGUUUUGUUUCAAAUGAAUAGUUUGCUUGUUACCAUGGAAACCUAAUGGCCUGCCAACAAAAACCUCACUGUAAACAGGUGACUGUGGUUACAACAUGGCUUCUCUGUCCACUUUCUCCCUCCUGGUUAUGUGGAUUCACAGUGUGUACAUUAGUAUAUAGAGUAAAUUUUCCUUGGAUGUACUCCAGCAAGCAAGUUCCUAUUUCAAACUGCUUCUGUUCAUACUCACUCUCCACCACUUUCUCAUUCUACAAUUUUAGCUAA